GGACCAUCACUGCGCGAGCCAACAGCUACUGAUUCCCCCCCAAAUUCUCUCGCUCUCGCUUUCCUCUCGAAUGGCCGCUCACAACCUCGCGGUGAUCCUCCGGAGCUCCUCCAGCGUCGCCCGGUUCCUCCUCGCCAAGCAGCGGCGGCCCCCGGCGUUCGGCGACGAGGAGUACGACUCCUACGUCGAUUCCGACCUCUGGGACCUGCCCUCCGCCCCGCUGAGCCCCCUCGCGGGGCGGCCCGGCGAGGUCCGCGUCCGCCUCGGAGGCGCGGCCGCGGCGUGCUCGGAGAAGGUCGAUUUGGGACGGUUCGAUGUGGAUUCCGCCGUCGUCCAGGGCCUGGGGCUUGUUGGACUGGAGGUUUCCGAUGUGGGAGAGUGGAAAUUCUUCAAGUAUGUUGAAGAAGCGGAGUUCGGGCCGGGAUUACCUGUUAAUACGGUCUUUAUCGAGGGCAAAUUGAUCGCUGGGGACUGUAAUUUACCAGAGUCAUGUAAAUGGAUGUCCGUUGAAAGUUGCCUAGAUUGGCUCGUGGACGUGAAACCAAGUAGUGAUCGCGUUGGACCUUUAACGGUUCUCGGUCUAAUAAAUGACUCUAUGCCACCAUCCAAAUUUAAGGUCCCGUCAACGUUAAUUUAUCAGGAGUAUCCUCCAGGUGUUGUAGUUGUUCCUAUGGGAAGUCGGACAGCAAAGCCUUUUCACACCACCAAUUUAGUGGUGUUUGCACCUGCGAGUAGUUCAGAUGAAUGUGGGGAAGGUAAUUUUAUUAUGUCAGGAGAUGCUCUCAUAGUUGAUCCAGGUUGCCGAUCCCAACACCAUGAAGAGCUUGGGAAAAUUGUUGCUGUCUUGCCAAGAAAGUUGAUUGUGUUUCUCACCCAUCAUCACCAUGAUCACAUUGAAGGUCUCUCAGUCGUUCAGAGAUGCAACAGUGAUGCCAUCUUGUUAGCACAUAAAAACACCAUCUCUCGCAUUCAGAAAGAUGUUUGGUCUCUUGGUUCCACUCCAGUUUCGGGAGCAGAAGACAUCUGCAUUGGUGGUCAGAGGUUAAGUAUAAUUUUUGCACCGGGUCAUACGGAUGGACAUCUGGCACUAUUACACAACAGUACUCACUCACUCAUAGUAGGUGAUCAUUGUUUGGGCCAAGGAAGUUCAAUACUGGAUGUUACUUCUGGUGGAAAUAUCUUUGAUUACUUCCAAUCAACAUACAAAUUCAUGGAGCUUUCUCCACAUGCUCUCAUCCCCAUGCACGGGAGAGUCAACCUGUGGCCAAAGCACAUGCUUUGUGGAUAUCUGAAGAAUCGUAGGCAGAGAGAGGAAUCCAUAUUGAAAGCUAUAGAAGAUGGAGCGCAGACAUUAUUUGACAUUGUUGCAAAUGUCUAUUCUGGGGUUGAUCGCAGUUUUUGGCCUCAUGCUACGUUCAAUGUGAGGGUUCACGUGGAUCAUUUGGCCCAACAAGAUAAGUUACCAAAGGACUUUUCAAUGGACACUUUCAGUCACAGUUUGGUUGCAUUUCCUGACCACUUGGCUAAACAUGGGGCCAAGUAAGGAGAGCUGCUCUCUGGCCUGCCUCCACCUGCUCUAGUUUAGAUUGGACCUUGCCUACUUUGAAUGAAUUUUCAAUUCAGAAAUUCCAAAGAAGCUGUAAGCUGCAUUUCUUCAUUCGGUGGCUUGGGUCCUACUUUAUAUAUCUAUUGAUGGUGAGGUGCUGCAAGCUAAGCAAGUCAACAUUUAUAGUUUCUGGCCUGAUAGCUGGCUUCACCUCAAUUUACUUAAUAAAAAAAAGCUCAUUGUCGAGUAGUUAAAGAGAGGAACUUGCAAUCCUAGUUUUCAGAGCAGAUUUAUAAGGUUAUGUUGUCAAACAUGAAAUUUGUGUAUAGCUGAUUAUCUGCCUGGAGAGGAUCUGAACUAGAUUAUUGCGGUAGUACUUCAGACAUGGAUGCACAUGGGAAAUAUGUGCAUUCCCUUUUCUCACCGCAGGAUGAUAAUCUGCAGGGUACUUCUAUGUCCCUAUCCUAGCUUUAAUUUUGGGUGUUUCAAAUA